UUGCAGCUUCAGAGACAUGGCUUACAGACAGGCCUUACAACUUCUCUUAGCUGCUCAGCCAGGGCUGGUUUUCUCUUGGGGUUCUUUUGUAGAUCCCAGCUUGCCCAGCCUCUCUCUUCUUUACACAAACAUCAGGCUCUGAGCCUGGGGAGUGGCUGGAGGUCUCCUCGUGGGGCAGGCAGUUCUUUCCUGAUGAAGUUCUGGAAACAGCUGCACCAUCUCUCUGAAGGAACAGGUGGAAGAAAAUCGAUGGUCUUCUUGUCACCGUCUGAGAUAUGGAAGAAGUUCUGACUCAGCCGGGGAGAUGUGUUGGCUUCAUCCAACCCAGGCACGCCUGCCACUGAGAGUGUGAGGGCUGCAAAGACAGGAGGAAUCCUAGACAUGACUGAAGAUGUAAGCUCUGGGCUUCCUGCUCCUGCCUCCCUGUCGCCCACCAUUGCCAUUGGUCCCCACCGUGACGGACUCUUCUCCCUGGAACCUUACAAGCAAAAUAAACUCUCUCUCCUCCAA